UACGGGGGGAGCAAGCGUUGUUCGGAUUUACUGGGCGUAAAGGGCGCGUAGGCGGUCAGCACAAGUCAGUUGUGAAAUCUCCGGGCUUAACUCGGAAAGGUCAACUGAUACUGUGCGACUAGAGUGCAGAAGGGGCAACUGGAAUUCUCGGUGUAGCGGUGAAAUGCGUAGAUAUCGAGAGGAACACCUGCGGCGAAGGCGGGUUGCUGGGCUGACACUGACGCUG
rnacentral:rRNA from 1 species